CCUGGUGGCGGCGCAGGUCAGCUAGCAGCGCUCGCUCCCGCUGGCGGUGCCCUCAACUUGGCUCUUUGCCCAUGUAUGCUUUGCUUUGUCAGCUACGCGGCUUGAGAAAGGAGGAGGAGGCUCCAUCCGCGCUUUUUUUCUAGUUUUCAUCUCCUUUUCAUCUCCAGUUUUAUUUUUUUUAUUUCCGUUGGUUGGGAGAUGCUCCGUAGUCGUUUCUUGCUGCCUCUCCAGCCGAAUUGUGGCUCAAUGUGCCAUUCUUUUCAUGAUUUUUUAAUAUAUAUAAGUCUACCUUUUUCUUAUAAUAACAAUAAAAAUAAGUAGUAAACACAGUAUUAGGCCCUUCAAGCAAUUACCUAAUAAAAUGUAAACAUAAAUAUUUCUAUCCUUAAGCUGACAAUGUAAUUUGAUUAUAAAUAUCCUUAAGGAAGUAUGACCUAACUAAUCAUACUGUAAACUAAAAUAUUCGUCUGUUUGUCAUCCAAUCAAAUCAAAUUAAAUCAAAUGUUUCUUUAAGUUAUCUGCAU
rnacentral:lncRNA from 1 species